UACGUAGCAGCAAGCGUUGUUCGGAGUUACUGGGCGUAAAGGGUGCGUAGGCGGCUUCUUAAGUCUGGUGUGAAAUCUCCCGGCUCAACUGGGAGGGUGCGCCGGAUACUGAGGGGCUAGAGUGUGGGAGAGGAAAGUGGAAUUCCUGGUGUAGCGGUGAAAUGCGUAGAUAUCAGGAGGAACACCGGUGGCGAAGGCGGGUCUCUGGGCCGAUACUGACGCUGAGGAGCGAAAGCGUGGGGAGCGAACAGG
rnacentral:rRNA from 1 species